rnacentral:rRNA from 1 species
CGCUGGCGGCGUGCCUAACACAUGCAAGUCGAACGGAGCUUUGAGAGCUUGCUCUUGAAGCUUAGUGGCGAACGGGUGAGUAACGCGUGAGCAACCUGCCUUUCAGAGGGGGACAACAGUUGGAAACGACUGCUAAUACCGCAUAAUGUAUCGAGGGGGCAUCCUCUUGAUACCAAAGAUUUAUUGCUGAAAGAUGGUCUCGCGUCUGAUUAGCUAGUUGGUGAGGUAACGGCUCACCAAGGCGACGAUCAGUAGCCGGUCUGAGAGGAUGAACGGCCACAUUGGGACUGAGAUACGGCCCAGACUCCUACGGGAGGCAGCAGUGGGGAAUAUUGGGCAAUGGGGGAAACCCUGACCCAGCAACGCCGCGUGAAGGAAGAAGGCCUUCGGGUUGUAAACUUCUUUUACCAGGGACGAAGAACGUGACGGUACCUGGAGAAAAAGCAACGGCUAACUACGUG